GAAGUAAACUUGAUUAAAAUACACCAAUUGUGUGCCUAACCGUGAUCGUCUCUUUUCGAGGGAGUUUAGAAAGAGAACAUGAUGGAGUUAUGUUUGACUUGUAAGUAGGUGUUCAGGAUCACUUCUUGAUCAAUACUAGUACUCGUCCGACAUGCAUAUAAUCUCAUCUUAUUCUUGUACUCGUAAGUUAGCCACUCAAAUAUAUGCAUAGUGCUGCUCCAACCUGACCACUUUACCAUACCUUAACCACCAACUUAGAUAGUCUCGACA
rnacentral:lncRNA from 1 species